GGGCCCCUCACUACAAGAAAGACAUUGAGGUGCUGGAGCAGGUCAGAGAAGAGCAACAAAGCUGGUGAAGGGUCUGGAGAACAAGUCCUGGGGACACUCUUCCAGUGCAGCAACUACAAAAGAUACCAGCAAAGUUAUCUCCACAGGUCCUCCUCCGAAACUGUGCUGUAAGAUGGGGUUAGGACCUCUGGCAUGCUGGAGAAAAGGUAGAGCAGCUCACAGGUGACUGGAGAAAUUACACCAAAAUAAAGUCUAUAGUCCUUAAAAGGUCUGGAGAGUAACUUCUACUCAAAUAACAGCAAAGGAGAGGAAAACCAUGAUUUUUUCAUUAAAAGCAGGAAGAGGUCUUAAUUGUAAACAGUUCCAGUUCACAGAAAUGCUUCAAACAGCAGGGACAGCAGUGUGGGAGCCCACACAUUGGUCUGCACCGCCCUGGGAACGCAGCAGGUAUGGGUUCAGUGGUAGACGUAAGAUGAGCCAGGCCGGAGGCAAAUGAGGCUGAAAAUGGUCCCUUGGCUGUCAUGGACCAGAGUAGCUUCGCUUCUU